GAUUCAUACUGCUAUGUCAACUCUUGCACUCCUAGGUAGGGUGAGCUCAAUGGGCCUCUGUCAGAGUGAGCUCAAUGGGCCCCUAUCUGGGAGAAUUAUGCAGGACCUCCUGGGAAAGGUUUAAGCAAAAGCUAAUAAUUGAACAGCCAGUCUGAGCAGGCCUAGGGCCUCAUGAUUUAAACAUGUUAAAACUUUCAACAACGGAUCUCUUGGCUCUCGCAUCGAUGAAGAACGCAGCGAAAUGCGAUAAGUAAUGUGAAUUGCAGAAUUCAGUGAAUCAUCGAAUCUUUGAACGCACAUUGCGCCCCUUGGCAUUCCUUGGGGCAUGCCUGUUCGAGCGUCACUACAAACCCUCUCACGUAUACCGUGGUAUUGAUGGUAGUGGGUUGCAGUUGCCGACACGACUGCUCCACUCUGUUGAAAUAUAUAGGCAGAACAGUUGGCCUUAGUAACAGACUUAGUAAAUGUUGUUAGCACAUAAACCAGUCUCUUACUAGGUCAGGUCCUGCCUUCCUGGACCCCCAUCUAAAAUGAAUUCUGGGUUGACCUCGGAUCAGG
rnacentral:rRNA from 1 species